rnacentral:rRNA from 1 species
AACGCGAAGAACCUUACCUGGGCUUGACAUGUUUGGAAAAGCAGCAGAGAUGUUGCGUCCGCAAGGGCCAAUCACAGGUGGUGCAUGGCUGUCGUCAGCUCGUGUCGUGAGAUGUUGGGUUAAGUCCCGCAACGAGCGCAACCCUUGUUCCAUGUUGCCAGCAGGUAAAGCUGGGGACUCAUGGAAGACCGCCGGGGUCAACUCGGAGGAAGGUGGGGAUGACGUCAAGUCCUCAUGCCCCUUAUGUCCAGGGCUGCAAACACGCUACAAUGGCCGGUACAAAGAGAUGCUAGAACGCGAGUUCAUGCCAAUCUCAUAAAGCCGGUCUCAGUUCGGAUUGAAGUCUGCAACUCGACUUCAUGAAGCUGGAGUUGCUAGUAAUCCCGGAUCAGCACGCCGGGGUGAAUACGUUCCCGGGUCUUGUACACACCG